CCAGGCGGCCGGAUGACCGCUGCCGUGUCAGACCGUGCGCUCCUUGCGGGCGCAGCCGGUGCGCGGGGGAGGAAAGUCCGGGCUUCAGGGAAGAGCGGUGUCGGCUAACGGCCGACGGGGGCGACCCCAGGGAAAGUGCCACAGAAACGAUACCGCCUCUGCGGUCUUCGGACAGCAGGGGUAAGGGUGCAAGGGUGCGGUAAGAGCGCACCGCGCGGUCGGCAACGGCAGCGGCAGGGCAAACCCCACCGGAAGCAAGGCCAAAUAGGGGCGAGGCGGUCAUGGGCAACCAUGGCCGGGCGGUUCUUCCCCGUCUCUCGCCCGGGUCGGCCGCGUGAGCGAGGCAGCGAUGCCCCGCCAAGAGGAAUGGUCAUCCCGCCUCGCGUCGCAAGGCGAGGGGCGGACAGAACCCGGCUUAUAGGCCGCCUGGCGUU
rnacentral:RNase_P_RNA from 1 species